CACAUACUCCCAUGCAUGCAUACAUUUCAGAUAAAUUUGAUGAUAUCAAAGGAAUAAUGAUUUGAUAAUCAUCAAAUUUAUCUGAAAUGUAUGCAUGCAUGGGAGUA